GGUCGUAUGGCGAAGUGGUAACGCGUUGCCCUCCGGAGGCAAAGGUCUUGGGUUCAAUCCCCAAUACGAUCG